rnacentral:lncRNA from 1 species
CAGUUCCAAAGUAGAGUCAGUCAGUUCAACUGAUGCAAGGAUUCAGAGAUACCUGACCUCUGCUAGCAGGUAGCUGCAGUAAAUUCAGUGCUGUGCUUCACUCAUGGCUCAACUUCUCUCAAGUUUUCUACUUUUAAGUAUGAAAACCUGUAACAGUGAAAUCCGUUAUGUAGCAGGCUGACAAUUAAACCAGAGCUACAAUUCAGAAACAGUGCAGCUAAAAUGAAGAAUUCCCUAGGAAAAUACAGGGAUUUUGUGACCUCCACAUCUGAAAGGAGCUGGGCUUCUCCUGCCCCUGGGCAGGCUGACAAACAGUUGUCUGAGAAGGAUGCCUAAGGACUGAUGGUUCAGGAUGACAUCAAAAACUCUGUGACCUUUGCAAGGGUCCACCAUGGCCAGGAGUAAGGAGCACUGAUACAUCUGACUGCAGUGGUAUAAGAUACGUUGAUAAUUGAUGGGCUUGUUUCAGAAUAGAAGUUUUCAUGGAAAUCCCAUAGGAUUCUUCUGAUGUUUUAUGAGCUCAAGCUCUCAUAGACAAGAAAAAAUGUAGAAAACAAGGUAAUUCAAAUAUUAACCACUAAUGCUGUGAUACAUGAUGGUAGAAAAGAAGUAGUUUGCUUUAUAUCUCCCUGCUUGCCUCACUACCCACACAAAAACAAGGAAACCUUCUAAUAGUGUAUAAUGUAUGGGGAAAUGCCAUUUUACUUUGAUUGCACUGCUCAGCUAAACUCAGGCUUUAGUACUCAACAUCUCAGCUGUCUCUUCUGAUUGCAAUGGGUAACCUCACUUAAGAAUCUACC